UUGAACUAAGUAGGUGAAAUAUGUAUACAUAUUUUGAUAUUUUUUUCUAAAUGUUAAAUUUUUCAGUUUCAAUACUAAGAUCGUUGCAAGGGCUCCUGAAGGUACUUUUAUCUGUUGAGAAAAAUCUGGAUACCUUUAGAGCUCUAAGCUUUGUAGAUUGUUGUUCUCAGCAUCUUUCUCCAGAUCAUGCUAUUAUGAUCAGAAUGGUGAAACUUAAUGGAGUCAUUUUCAAAAGUUAAAAGCUUGUGGAGUAAAUUCAUAGUUUGUUUCUUAGUUACCAAUUCAAUUCUGUAAUUUUUGCUUCUUUCAUUGCAUGUUAUUGUUGUUUAGAGGUUAUGUAAAAAAAUCUGAUGUAUAUAUCAAUGUUACUUUUUUGAUAAAUAAAUGAAAUCGUAUGGUUAGACAUU